GAUGAACGCUGGCGGCGUGCCUAAUACAUGCAAGUCGAGCGAACGGACGAGACGCUUGCUUCUCUGAUGUUAGCGGCGGACGGGUGAGUAACUCGUGGAUAACCUACCUAUAAGACUGGGAUAACUUCGGGAAACCGGAGCUAAUACCGGUUAAUAUUUUGAACCGCAUGGUUCAAAAGUGAAAGACGUUCUUGCUGUCACUUAUAGAUGGAUCCUCGCUGCAUUAGCUAGUUGGUAAGGUAACGGCUUACCAAGGCAACGAUGCAUAGCCGACCUGAGAGGGUGAUCGGCCACACUGGAACUGAGACACGGUCCAGACUCCUACGGGAGGCAGCAGUAGGGAAUAUUCCGCAAUGGGCGAAAGCCUGACGGAGCAACGCCGCGUGAGUGAUGAAGGUCUUCGGAUCGUAAAACUCUGUUAGUAGGGAAGAACAUAUGUGUAAGUAAAUGUGCACAUCUUGACGGUACCUAAUCAGAAAGCAACGGCUAACUACGUG
rnacentral:rRNA from 1 species